UUUGAUCAUGGCUCAGAUUGAACGCUGGCGGCAGGCCUAACACAUGCAAGUCGAGCGGUAGCACAAGAGAGCUUGCUCUCUGGGUGACGAGCGGCGGACGGGUGAGUAAUGUCUGGGAAACUGCCUGAUGGCGGGGGAUAACUAGUGGAAACGGUAGCUAAUACCGCAUAACGUCGCAAGACCAAAGUGGGGGACCUUCGGGCCUCACGCCAUCAGAUGUGCCCAGGUGGGAUUAGCUGGUAGGUGGGGUAACGGCUCACCUAGGCGACGAUCCCUAGCUGGUCUGAGAGGAUGACCAGCCACACUGGAACUGAGACACGGUCCAGACUCCUACGGGAGGCAGCAGUGGGGAAUAUUGCACAAUGGGCGCAAGCCUGAUGCAGCCAUGCCGCGUGUGUGAAGAAGGCCUUCGGGUUGUAAAGCACUUUCAGCGAGGAGGAAGGGUAAUGUGUUAAUAAGACAUUG
rnacentral:rRNA from 1 species